CCCACACGAUUGUUUAACAAUUCCUUACAAGUUCUUCAUUGGCCGGGUUAGAUUUUGGUCGAUGAGUGCGUUCACAUGCUGAUAGCUUUACUGGGAUUGUUUCUGUUUGAAAUUCAUUGAUUGAUAUGUAUGCAGGGUGUAGAGCAAUAGAGGAAGCCUACAAGGUGUUUGAGAAUGUGCUUGACAGGAAUUCAGUAAAUAUGGAACACUAUAAUAUUACGGUUGCUCAUGAAGCAUUGGAGCUCUCCUCGACAUUAGUAUAUGAGAAGCUCAAAAUGCCAUUCACGCAGCAUGGUCGACAAGGGAAGGAGAUUUUUUGUUGUGUGGAUGACGAAUACCAUAUCCGACCAACCAUAAAGGCUAAAGCACU
rnacentral:lncRNA from 1 species